UACGGAGGGGGCUAGCGUUGUUCGGAAUUACUGGGCGUAAAGCGCACGUAGGCGGACUGUUAAGUCGGGGGUGAAAUCCUGGGGCUCAACCUCAGAAUUGCCUCCGAUACUGGCAGUCUCGAGUGCGGGAGAGGUGAGUGGAAUUCCCAGUGAUAGAGGUGAAAUUCGUAGAUAUUGGGAAGAACACCAGUGGCGAAGGCGGCUCACUGGCCCGUAACUGACGCUGAGGUGACGAAAGCGUGGGGAGCAAACAGG
rnacentral:rRNA from 1 species